CUGACACAGGUGCUGCAUGGCUGUCGUCAGCUCGUGUCGUGAGAUGUUGGGUUAAGUCCGUAACGAGCGCAACCCUGUCCUUAGUUACCAGCACGUUAUGGUGGGCACUCUAAGGAGACUGCCGGUGACAAACCGGAGGAAGGUGGGGGAGUGACGUCAAGUCAUCAUGGCCCUUACGGCCUGGGCUACACACGUGCUACAAUGGUCGGUACAAAGGGUUGCCAAGCCGCGAGGUGGAGCUAAUCCCAUAAAACCGAUCGUAGUCCGGAUCGCAGUCUGCAACUCGACUGCGUGAAGUCGGAAUCGCUAGUAAUCGUGAAUCAGAAUGUCACGGUGAAUACGUUCCCGGGCCUU
rnacentral:rRNA from 1 species